rnacentral:tRNA from 1 species
GCGAAGGUGGCGGAAUUGGUAGACGCGCUAGCUUCAGGUGUUAGUAUUCUUACGGACGUGGGGGUUCAAGUCCCCCCCCUCGCACCA